AACGAACGCUGGCGGCAUGCCUAACACAUGCAAGUCGAACGAGACCUUCGGGUCUAGUGGCGCACGGGUGCGUAACGCGUGGGAACCUGCCCUUAGGUUCGGAAUAACUCCCCGAAAGGGGUGCUAAUACCGGAUAAUGUCUUCGGACCAAAGAUUUAUCGCCUUUGGAUGGGCCCGCGUUGGAUUAGCUAGUUGGUAGGGUAAAAGCCUACCAAGGCGACGAUCCAUAGCUGGUCUGAGAGGAUGAUCAGCCACACUGGGACUGAGACACGGCCCAGACUCCCAGGGAAGGAGGAAGGGGGGAAUAUGAAAAGACGGGCGAAAGCCUAACCCAGCAAGGCCGGGUGAGUGAUGAAGGCUUUAGGUUGUAAAAGCUCUUUUACCCGGAAUGAUAAUAAAGGACCCGGGAAAAAAAGCCCGGGUAAAUUCGUG
rnacentral:rRNA from 1 species